UACGGAGGGUGCAAGCGUUAUCCGGAUUUACUGGGUUUAAAGGGUGUGUAGGCGGACUUUUAAGUCAGCGGUGAAAUCUCCGGGCUCAACCCGGAAACUGCCAUUGAUACUAUUGGUCUUGAAUAUUGUGGAGGUGGGCGGAACGGGUCAUGUAGCGGUGAAAUGCUUAGAGAUGAACCCGGAACACCGAUUGCGAAGGCAGCCCACUACGCAAUGAUUGACGCUGAGGCACGAAAAGCCGUGGGGGAAUCAAAACAGGGAUUAGAAACCCCCUGGUAG
rnacentral:rRNA from 1 species